rnacentral:rRNA from 1 species
UACGUAGGGUGCGAGCGUUGUCCGGAAUUAUUGGGCGUAAAGAGCUUGUAGGCGGUUUGUCGCGUCUGCUGUGAAAUCUCAAGGCUCAACCCCGAACUUGCAGUGGGUACGGGCAGACUAGAGUGUGGUAGGGGAGACUGGAAUUCCUGGUGUAGCGGUGAAAUGCGCAGAUAUCAGGAGGAACACCGAUGGCGAAGGCAGGUCUCUGGGCCACUACUGACGCUGGAGACGGCGAAAGCGUGGGGAGCGAACAGG